rnacentral:rRNA from 1 species
AUACGAAGGGGGCUAGCGUUGUUCGGAAUUACUGGGCGUAAAGCGCGCGUAGGCGGAUUGGUCAGUUAGGGGUGAAAUCCCAGGGCUUAACCCUGGAACUGCCUCUAAUACUGCCAGUCUUGAGUUCGGGAGAGGUGAGUGGAAUUCCUAGUGUAGAGGUGAAAUUCGUAGAUAUUAGGAAGAACACCAGUGGCGAAGGCGGCUCACUGGCCCGAUACUGACGCUGAGGCGCGAAAGCGUGGGGAACAAACAGGAUUAGAAACCCCAGUAGUCC